rnacentral:rRNA from 1 species
GACGAACGCUGGCGGCGUGCCUAAUACAUGCAAGUAGGACGCACAGUUUAUACCGUAGCUUGCUACACCAUAGACUGUGAGUUGCGAACGGGUGAGUAACGCGUAGGUAACCUACCUAUUAGAGGGGGAUAACUAUUGGAAACGAUAGCUAAUACCGCAUAACAGUAUGUAACACAUGUUAGAUGCUUGAAAGAUGCAAUUGCAUCGCUAGUAGAUGGACCUGCGUUGUAUUAGCUAGUAGGUAGGGUAAAGGCCUACCUAGGCAACGAUACAUAGCCGACCUGAGAGGGUGAUCGGCCACACUGGGACUGAGACACGGCCCAGACUCCUACGGGAGGCAGCAGUAGGGAAUCUUCGGCAAUGGGGGGAACCCUGACCGAGCAACGCCGCGUGAGUGAAGAAGGUUUUCGGAUCGUAAAGCUCUGUUGUUAAGGAAGAACGAGUGUGAGAAUGGAAAGUUCAUGCUGUGACGGUACUUAACCAGAAAGGGACGGCUAACUACGUGCCAGCAGCCGCGGUAAUACGUAGGUCCCGAGCGUUGUCCGGAUUUAUUGGGCGUAAAGCGAGCGCAGGCGGUUAGAAAAGUCUGAAGUGAAAGGCAGUGGCUCAACCAUUGUAGGCUUUGGAAACUGUUUAACUUGAGUGCAGAAGGGGAGAGUGGAAUUCCAUGUGUAGCGGUGAAAUGCGUAGAUAUAUGGAGGAACACCGGUGGGCGAAAGCGGCUCUCUGGUCUGUAACUGACGCUGAGGCUCGAAAGCGUGGGGGAGCGAACAGG